CCUUUUGGAAGGUUCUCCAAAGAGGAACUCUGAAGCUAAGUCAGAGUGAUCAUCGGGUUAUUGGUCACCUCCCUGACCAAAGCCCUUCUCCCCCGAUUGCUCAGUUUGGCUGGGCAGCCAGCUCUAGGAAGAGUCUUGUUGGUUCCAAACUUCUUACAUUUAAGAAUGAUGGAGGCCACUGUGUUCUUGGGGACCUUCAAUGCUGCAGAAAUGUUUUGGUACCCUUCCCCAGAUCUGUGCCUCGACACAAUCCUGUCUCGGAGAUCUACAAUUCCUUCGACUUCACAGCUUGGUUUUUGCUCUGUCAUGCACUGUCAACUGUGGGACCUUAUAUAGACAGGUUUGUGCCUUUCCAAAUCAUGUCCAAUCAAUUGAAUUUACCACAAGUAGUCUCAUAGCAAAGGGUCUGAAUACUUAUGUAAAUAAGGCAUUUCUGUUUUUGAUUUUUAAUACAUUUGCAGACAUUUCUAAAAACCUGUUUUUGCUUUGUCAUUAUGGGGUAUUGUGUGAAGCUUGAUGAAGAAAAACAAUAUUUAAUCAACUUUAGAAUAAGGCUGUAACGUAACAAAAUGUGGAAAAAAUCAAGGGGUUUGAAUACUUUCCGAAUGUCCUGUAUAUGUAUUUUCUAUUUUUAGUUGAAACCUGGGUUGAUUUGAAACAAUAGCUGUUGAUGACUUCGCAAAUGCUACAGUAUAUUCACCUAAUUUUCACCGGAAAUAUGGGCGGGUUCUAUUUCGUUUUUUUUGGUGGGGGACUUCCGGUUAAGCAUUUCCAGCCAAUAGUUCGCAGCUAACCUAGAUAACCAACACACCUCUCACAACUUCCCAAACAUGGAUUCACGCAAAACAGACAUUUUAUUUUUGAUGCAGACAACUGUGGUGAUGCAGAGUCUAAUCUAAGUGUGCCAAUGCCACCACAGCAUACUGACGCUGAUACUCAAUGGGAGUUUCCAGCAUUGACUUAUCACAGCUACAUGCCAAGAGAACCAGUCAACAAGCCCACCUGCCACAAACAAACCCAAUGUGGUGGUGCAGAGCCAUUGACCCACACUAUCCAGAAUAAUGACACUAGCUCAGUGUUGUAUACUGGCCUAACUCUUAGUGUUUUCUUUGACCAUGUAGCAUUUCUGCAGAAAUUCUACACAGCUAACUCCAGGGUGAUCUUGCUGAACGCUUUGCUGUGUCCCAGGGAAUAGUGAGCAGAAUCCUUUCCUACUGGAUUGACACAAUGGAGGAGCACAAGGAUCUACAUUCCAUGGCUGCCGAGGGAGACAAUCCAGAACACAAUGCUUCAAAGAGAAGUUUCCCAACACCACUUGCAUCAUCGGCUGCUCUGUAACCACUCUUCUCGAUUUCAGAGGGGGGGUCAUACAGCCACUAUUAUUCCAGCAAUACGCUGAAGUAUUUUCUCAGUGUGGACUCGUUAUGUUUUUUUCUCCUGCACAUGGAGGCAGAUGCAGUGACAAGUUAAUCACCCAAAACUCUGGCUUCCUGGAAUACCUUAGGUCUGGCGAUUAAGUUAUGGCAGACAGGGGCUUCACCAUCCGAGAUCUGUUGUAUGAGAGGAAGGUAAACCUUGCCGUACCAGCCGUCACUCAGAAAGGAGACCAGCUGUCUGACGAGGAUGUCACAAGCACGAGAAGGUUAGCUAAUGUGCAUAUACAUGUUGAGAGAGUUAUCAGACGACUCGGGAGCAGUGGUGACACAUCAUAAAGGGAAGGUGAGCCCCACAUUUAGAGCAAAACAAUUAUAAAUAAAACAGGUGCUUGCCUGUUUAACAUGUUAUUUUGGCUUUAAUACGUGUCACAUAUCAGUUUGCAAACAGUGCAAAGAAAAUCAUUUGUAUAUAUAUAUAUCAUUGAGUUAAUAAAGCUGUGUACAAACAUG